UACGUAGGGUGCAGGCGUUAAUCGGAAUUACUGGGCGUAAAGCGUGCGCAGGCGGUUUUGUAAGCCAGAUGUGAAAUCCCCGGGCUUAACCUGGGAAUGGCAUUUGGGACUGCAAGGCUUGAGUUUGGCAGAGGAGACUGGAAUUCCUGGUGUAGCAGUGAAAUGCGUAGAUAUCAGGAGGAAUACCGAUGGCGAAGGCAGGUCUCUGGGCUAGAACUGACGCUCAUGCACGAAAGCGUGGGGAGCAAACAGG
rnacentral:rRNA from 1 species